AAAGAGGUGAAAAAUUAAAUAACAAUUCUGCCCACGCACACAUACUCACUGUACUUUACUCAGUACAGACUGAUACAAGUUCAUAGAAUCUGUGAUGUACAGAACCUGGGCAACAGUGGAUCAGAGCACCACAGAGAAGUGAAAUAUGCCCACUGCAUCCAGGCAAGAUUAAGACCUCAUUUCACAAAGUUCUGUGAAACACUAUCUUUGAACUUAAUCACUCCUACAAUCCCUUGCAGAAGAUAAGUGACUAUGCACAAGUUCUGAUUGCUUAGUAAGACUAGACAAACUUUCCCCACAAGUGGGAAGAAUUUGGAAAUGAGAACAUGAGUGAAGGCUGCAUACGAAGAAAGAAUGGCUGAGUUCUGUAAGGCUGAAAUGCUGUUUCCAGGACUGAAAGAUCAAAUUCACUUAUAUCCUAAGAAGCUGCUGGCAGGGACUGUUUAGAUGAGCAAGACAGCCUAGUAGCCCACCACCACAGAAUGAUGGGUCCUCACACUGACAUUUUCUCCUUCCCACCCCGGCAUUUGAGGGGGAAAAAACCACCACCCAAGGGAAAUAAACACAAGAGGAUAAUCAUCUGAAGUGAUCUGAUGAGUUAUUUAUAUUGUGAGGCAUCCAACAGGCACUUGGGUCUACAAGGAAACAUGUAAAGACUGUUCCCUUCUAACAACCAUUAACCGCUCUGGAAGCCGUAGCAUGUUGUCUGUUAAGAUCAGUCAGAAGAGAGCAAGAUGAAAUUGGGAGUUGGGGAAACACUUAUCUCUACUGUCUUUACAACAAAAGGAUCUGAAAUCCCCCAUCACUAAAGUCAAGUGAUUAAACAGUAAGAAGUAGAUUUUAUUACUUAUGUAAAGUUUUUAUUAAUUAUAGACCAACUACCUCCUAAACUAGAAUGCAUGUAGCAUUAAUAUGAGUCAGUAUGAGAUUAUUAGGCCAAAUCAUGAUCUUCAGGUUCUAAAAACCCACUUAGACAUUGAGACUUCUUUGUUGUUUUUUUUUCCCUUAUUACUUUACCCAUUAGCCCUACAUUGCACACAUUUUCCCCACAGGCAUAGUGCUAACAGCAAAGUCUAUACAUUGAAAAAUACGCUGAAUAUAGCUCCAAUAUAAGUAAGAAACUGUAAGCAAAUCCUAAUGGGCUGUGGAACAUUUCUGCCUUUAUUCCCAUGUUGAGUUCAGGUCUCUGGUGACAGGGGAACAGUAGACUAAUGAUGCUGUAUCAUCAUUUCAGAGCAGAAUCUCCCAUCCAGUGUUUCACCAAGGUGUUAUCUCAUCUAGAGAAGUUACAAAUGCUCCUGGCCUUCAUGAUUUGAAGGAUUAGGUUUCUAUUUUGACCAGUGUUAUUUGUGUUUCUGACUCUCCCUCCCUGAAGGAAGAAGUUUUACCUUGCUGUAAAGUUACUACAUAAAAUUAAGUGUAUUUUUCAGACACUGGCAGUAAGCUUUUAUUUCAUUUUAUCAAAUAUGUAGAAGUAAUAUGACUGUUUUGCUUAGUUACCUGACAAAUGAAAAUGUUUUUAAAACCAUGUAUAUUUUAAUAUAGUGGUUGUGGCAAAUUAGUGGUGUUUUUUGGUCCACUACCAGUCAGUUACUCCAACUUCAUUGGGAUUUCUAGUGCCUCAAGGUGUAUCAUAUCAUGUAACACAGGAAAAAAAAAAAAAAACCUAACAAAGAAUAAAGCAGUUGAUCAACAUUAUAAAAAUGCAGGCAGUCAAAUCUUACAUAUUAGUGCUUCGCAAUGUUAAUUUCUUCUCUAUUGCUUAGCUGUCUAAUUUUAUUAGCAUAAAUUAAAUGAAAUAUUGAAUGAACAUAUUUGCAGUAGUUCUCCAGAGCAAACAAAAUGAAAUCUGCCGAUUAAUUUGUAAAUAGGCCUUGGCUACAUUUUACAUUUACUCCAUAUUCAUACUCCUUUAAGAGUUUUUGCAGGUAGCCAACUACAUACAGAUUGUUGAGAAAACUAGAAUUAUCAUCUGAAAAAUAUUCCGGUAGCCACACAUUCUCACUGACAUCUCUGCAUAUUCAUAAGCUACAGGGAAUUUGCACUGAGUACUUCUCACUUAAUCUCAUCCACUUCUCCUCCCACCCCAGUCUGCACAGAGAUGGGAUUGUCAUUCACUUCCAUUAUUAGAAGUACUCUUCUACCUGAAGAAUAUUUUUUUGCCUUCAGCAGCCACAUUGCCACACUAAGUACACUACACAAAUAUUUGUCUGGAGAACACAAAAACCUCCAUGAGCACCGUCUUCUUUUCUAAAAAGAAACCUUCACAGUUUUAGUAGCUUGAAUAAUGGGCACAGUUUGAAUAUUUAAGUACGGUCGGUAAAUGUCUGUGUUACCAACACACACACAAGUAAUUGUGAUUAGUAAAGUUUUAUGGAAAAUUAACUGUUUGAAAAGAAAACAGUAGUCUGGGAAGUAGAAAAAUAAAUGAUUAGGAUUGUGUCCCAAUAAAGACUGUGUACCUGGCAUUUCCAUAGCUUGCACUGCCCCCCAGUCAUCCAUUUCUUAAAACAUACCCGUUAUUUCCAGACACAACCUUACUGAAAUUUACUAGGAGUGGAAACAACUAUAUGCUUACAAAAGAGUCAAGGAACUUAGUAAUGCACUUUCAAUCAAUUUUUUUUUACUUUCAUAUAUUGCGAGUGUCAUGGUUUUAUGAUUUUCGGUUAUUGGUACUCCACAUCAUAACAUCAUGUAGUGAAUGUACCUGGUUCUCAGAA